AGAGUCAUUGCAGUUAGAGGUAAUUGCAAGUACUGAGGAAUCCUCAACAUCACUUGAGUUCAAAGAGUUUAGGAAAACUUAUGAUGAGCUGAAGGGAGCCUUUGGUCGAUUCAAAGAGGAACACUUAAUGAGAGAAGACUUCAGUGAUGGAGUGGAGGUGUGGGUGAAGUGGAAGGAAGACAGGCAGACCAUUUGGUAUGAUGCUGUCAUCAUAAAAAAAGAGUAUUACAUUAGGUAUUUGACGGACAAACACAAGUGUAGAGUGGGGAAGGCUUCACUGAAGAAAAAUUGAGAGGCACAGUCAGACAUCAUUAGAUUUGUAUUAUUGUAUGGAGUAUAUACAAUGUACAUAUAUAUGGUUCUUUCUUCACAUUGUGCCUAUCUGUAUAAAAUGUUGUUUU